AGAGAACCCAAGCUAAAAGAUGCGGCAUCAGGAGUGUCCUGCAGACAAUCGGGAUGGGAUAUUGGAGUUGAGUUCCUCACUGAUUUUGUGGUGAUAAAGACCCAGGGCAUGUGAGGCAUGAGAUGCUGCAGGACCAGGCAGUACCUACACAUGCACAACCCAGAAAUGUGGGAGAUUUAAUGUCUGAGAAGAAAAAGUUUGACAAGGGGAUAUAGCAGGAAGCAGCUGGCCAUUUAAGGAACCCCACAUGGUAAGGAACUACAAGUAGCCUCUAGAAGCUGAGGGCAACCUCCAGCCAACAGCCAGCAAGAAAUUAGAGCCCUCGGUGAUACAUCCAAAAGGACGUGAAUUCUGCUGACAACCACAGGAAUCUGGAAGCAGAUCCUUUCCCAGGUGAGCCUCCAUAUGAGAAAGCAGUCUUGUUCAACACCGUGAUUUCAGCCUUGCAAAGGAUAAGCUAAGUUGUUCCUGACUCACGGAAACAGGGAGAUAAUAAAUGUGUGUUGCUUUAGGCUGUUAAGUUUGUAGCAAUAUUAUUAAGCAACAAUAGAUAACUAAUACAGACUAUAAAAUGGUACAACCACUUUGGGAGAUGGUUUGACAAUUUCUUAAAACAUUAAACAUACACCAACCAUGUGACCCAGAUAUUCCAUACUCAAGAGAAACAUUAGUCGGGAGUUCCCUGGUGGUCCAGUGGUUAGGACUUGGUGCUUUCACUGCCGGGGCCUGGGUUCAAUCCCUGGUCAGGGAACUAAGAUCCUGAAAGCCGCACGGUGUGGCCAACAAAAAAAAAUCCUGAGAAACAUAAGUCCACAAAAAAGACCCAUACAUAAAUAUUCAUAACAACUUCAUUCAUAACAGCCAAAAACCAGGAAAAAAAUUUCCAUCCAUACAAGAGUAGAUAAAGAAAUUGUGGUAUAUUUAUACAAUAUAAUGAAUUCUACUCAGCAAUAAAAUGGAAUAAACUUUUGAUAGACACAGAACAUGAAUGAAUCUCAAAAACAUUAUGCUAAGCUAAAGAAACCAGACACAAAAGAGGUACAAACUGUAUGAUUCCAUUUAUGUGAAGUCCUAGAACAGGCAAACCUAAUCUAUGGUGAAAGAAAUUGAACCAGUAGCUGCCUCUGGGGAUUCAAGGGCAGGCAUUGACUUGAAAAGGACACGAGAUAACCUUCUGCAGUGAUGAACGUGCUCCCUAGCUUGAUGGAUUACGCAGGUGUAUGCAUUUGUCAAAACAUUUUAAACUGUACACAUAAGAGCUGUGCUUAUCACUAUAUGUAAAUUGUACUUUAAUUUGAAAAAAAUAAAAAACAAAGGACAAUGGAAAUACCUGUUUGGUAAAUGUUAGUGCAUAUGUCUCAAGCCAAAUUAUCCCAAGAUGCUUGUAAAGAUAAAGAGAAAAGCAUAGACCAUUUGCCAUGUGGAGUCUGUAAGAACAUAGGGUUCCAGAGGAAAAGGCACCUCUGAUUGGUUCUGCUCUCUCAGUUGAUCUUUGUGCCUGGAGCUUCAUGGACUCAAUCCACCCAGAGAAGAUUGUUCCACCCAAUGAAUGCUGUGAACUCUAUAGCCCAUAUUUAAUCAAUAAGUAGUCACAAUAUGACCUAUACACAAACAAGGCUACUGAAAUAACUUUAUCAUCCUUAUCAUGUGGUUACUUCAAACAAGAUCUGACUUUCACCCAUUAGCAGAGAUAAUACUUAAUUCAAAAUAAUAUUUGUUGUGGCACUGUGCCCAGCAAUGUAUGGAGAUUAAAUUAUCAAAAGACCUAGGAGUGAAAAACUGUCAAGGACAUCAAAAACAAGAAAAGUCUGAAAAUCUGGCAUCGUCUAAGGAGCCUAAGGAGAAAUAACAACUAAAUGUAAUUUCAUAUCCUGGAUGGGAUCUUGGAACAGGAGGACAUUCGGUUAAAAACCAAGGAAGUCUAGAGACUUCCCUAGCAGUCCAGUGGUUAAGACCUUGUCCUUCCAAUGAAGGGGGUGCAGGUUCGAUCCCGGGUCAGGGAGUAAGAUCCCACAUGCUGUGCAGCGUGGUGAAAAGAUUAAAACAACAACAACAACCAAGGAAGCCUAAAUAAAAUAUGGACUUUAUUAAUAAUCAGAAAAUAUUGGUUCAUUAAUUGUAGGAAAUGUCCUAUACUAAUGUAAGAUGUUAAUAAUAAGAGAAAUUGUGUGUAAGGGUGAGAAGAUAUAUGGGAUAUCUCUGUACUAUUUUCUCAAUUUUUCUGUAAGUAUAAAACUGCACUAAAAAAUAAAAUCUAUUUUUUACAAAAAAGACCAUGAGAACAAGCUUUUAUAUCACGGUAGGUAGGAUCUGGGAAACAAGCACU